rnacentral:rRNA from 1 species
UUGCUGACGAGUGGCGGACGGGUGAGUAAUGUCUGGGAAACUGCCUGAUGGAGGGGGAUAACUACUGGAAACGGUGGCUAAUACCGCAUAACGUCGCAAGACCAAAGAGGGGGACCUUCGGGCCUCUUGCCAUCAGAUGUGCCCAGAUGGGAUUAGCUAGUUGGUGAGGUAACGGCUCACCAAGGCGACGAUCCCUAGCUGGUCUGAGAGGAUGACCAGCCACACUGGAACUGAGACACGGUCCAGACUCCUACGGGAGGCAGCAGUGGGGAAUAUUGCACAAUGGGCGCAAGCCUGAUGCAGCCAUGCCGCGUGUAUGAAGAAGGCCUUCGGGUUGUAAAGUACUUUCAGCGGGGAGGAAGGUGUUGUGGUUAAUAACCGCAGCAAUUGACGUUACCCGCAGAAGAAGCACCGGCUAACUCCGUGCCAGCAGCCGCGGUAAUACGGAGGGUGCAAGCGUUAAUCGGAAUUACUGGGCGUAAAGCGCACGCAGGCGGUCUGUCAAGUCGGAUGUGAAAUCCCCGGGCUCAACCUGGGAACUGCAUUCGAAACUGGCAGGCUUGAGUCUUGUAGAGGGGGGUAGAAUUCCAGGUGUAGCGGUGAAAUGCGUAGAGAUCUGGAGGAAUACCGGUGGCGAAGGCGGCCCCCUGGACAAAGACUGACGCUCAGGUGCGAAAGCGUGGGGAGCAAACAGGAUUAGAUACCCUGGUAGUCCACGCCGUAAACGAUGUCUACUUGGAGGUUGUGCCCUUGAGGCGUGGCUUCCGGAGCUAACGCGUUAAGUAGACCGCCUGGGGAGUACGGCCGCAAGGUUAAAACUCAAAUGAAUUGACGGGGGCCCGCACAAGCGGUGGAGCAUGUGGUUUAAUUCGAUGCAACGCGAAGAACCUUACCUGGUCUUGACAUCCACAGAAGAAUCCAGAGAUGGAUUUGUGCCUUCGGGAACUGUGAGACAGGUGCUGCAUGGCUGUCGUCAGCUCGUGUUGUGAAAUGUUGGGUUAAGUCCCGCAACGAGCGCAACCCUUAUCCUUUGUUGCCAGCGGUCCGGCCGGGAACUCAAAGGAGACUGCCAGUGAUAAACUGGAGGAAGGUGGGGAUGACGUCAAGUCAUCAUGGCCCUUACGACCAGGGCUACACACGUGCUACAAUGGCGCAUACAAAGAGAAGCGACCUCGCGAGAGCAAGCGGACCUCAUAAAGUGCGUCGUAGUCCGGAUUGGAGUCUGCAACUCGACUCCAUGAAGUCGGAAUCGCUAGUAAUCGUGGAUCAGAAUGCCACGGUGAAUACGUUCCCGGGCCUUGUACACACCGCCCGUCACACCAUGGGAGUGGGUUGCAAAAGAAGUAGGUAGCUUAACCUUCGGGAGGGCGCUUACCACUUUGUGAUUCAUGACUGGGGUGAAGUCGUAACAAGGUAACCGUAGGGGAACCUGCGGUUGGAUCACCUCCUUACCUUAAAGAA